AAGCUUUUAAUUUUGCAAUAAUUUUAGUUUUACAGAAAAGUUGCAGUACAGUACAGAGAGUUCCCAAGUACCCUCACACAGAUUCCCCUAACAUUAGCAUCUUACAUAAUCAGUGUACACAUAUCGAAACUAGGAAGUCAACACUGGUACCUUAUUACUAAUAAAACUCCAGACUUUAUUUGGAUUUCACCAGUUUUUCAUCACUGUCCUUUUUCUGUUUCAGGAUUUCAUUGGCGAUCCAUUACAUUUAAUCAUCAGGUCUCUUGUGUCUUUUGUAGUCUUCUCAGGUCUGUGACAGUUUCUUUUUUUUUUAAUGAUCUUGACAGUUUUGAAGAGUACUUGUGAGGUAUCUUGGAGAAUAUCCCUCAAUUUGGGUUUGUCUGACAUUUUCUCCUAAUUAGUUUGGGGUUAUGAGUUUUGGGAAGAAGACCACAGAGGUUAAGUGCCAUUCCUACUGCAUCAUAUCAGAGAGCACGCAACAACAAAUUGACUUAUCACUGGUGAUGUUAACCUUCAUCACUUGGUUAGGAUGGUAAAACGAGAUGAAUUCUCUGAAGGUGUAACACUAAAAUGUUAAUUUGUCUCAUUAAAAAAUCACUUUACAACAAAAAAAGAUAUAUCACCCAACU